GACGAACGCUGGCGGCGUGCCUAAUACAUGCAAGUAGAACGCUGAAGAGAGGAGCUUGCUCUUCUUGGAUGAGUUGCGAACGGGUGAGUAACGCGUAGGUAACCUGCCUGGUAGCGGGGGAUAACUAUUGGAAACGAUAGCUAAUACCGCAUAAAAUUGAUUAUUGCAUGAUAAUUAAUUGAAAGAUGCAAUUGCAUCACUACCAGAUGGACCUGCGUUGUAUUAGCUAGUUGGUGAGGUAACGGCUCACCAAGGCGACGAUACAUAGCCGACCUGAGAGGGUGAUCGGCCACACUGGGACUGAGACACGGCCCAGACUCCUACGGGAGGCAGCAGUAGGGAAUCUUCGGCAAUGGGGGGAACCCUGACCGAGCAACGCCGCGUGAGUGAAGAAGGUUUUCGGAUCGUAAAGCUCUGUUGUAAGAGAAGAACGGGUGUGAGAGUGGAAAGUUCACACUGUGACGGUAUCUUACCAGAAAGGGACGGCUAACUACGUGCCAGCAGCCGCGGUAAUACGUAGGUCCCGAGCGUUGUCCGGAUUUAUUGGGCGUAAAGCGAGCGCAGGCGGUUAGAUAAGUCUGAAGUUAAAGGCUGUGGCUUAACCAUAGUAUGCUUUGGAAACUGUUUAACUUGAGUGCAGAAGGGGAGAGUGGAAUUCCAUGUGUAGCGGUGAAAUGCGUAGAUAUAUGGAGGAACACCGGUGGCGAAAGCGGCUCUCUGGUCUGUAACUGACGCUGAGGCUCGAAAGCGUGGGGAGCAAACAGGAUUAGAUACCCUGGUAGUCCACGCCGUAAACGAUGAGUGCUAGGUGUUAGGCCCUUUCCGGGGCUUAGUGCCGCAGCUAACGCAUUAAGCACUCCGCCUGGGGAGUACGACCGCAAGGUUGAAACUCAAAGGAAUUGACGGGGGCCCGCACAAGCGGUGGAGCAUGUGGUUUAAUUCGAAGCAACGCGAAGAACCUUACCAGGUCUUGACAUCCCUCUGACCGCUCUAGAGAUAGAGUUUUCCUUCGGGACAGAGGUGACAGGUGGUGCAUGGUUGUCGUCAGCUCGUGUCGUGAGAUGUUGGGUUAAGUCCCGCAACGAGCGUAACCCCUAUUGUUAGUUGCCAUCAUUCAGUUGGGCACUCUAGCGAGACUGCCGGUAAUAAACCGGAGGAAGGUGGGGAUGACGUCAAAUCAUCAUGCCCCUUAUGACCUGGGCUACACACGUGCUACAAUGGCUGGUACAACGAGUCGCAAGCCGGUGACGGCAAGCUAAUCUCUGAAAGCCAGUCUCAGUUCGGAUUGUAGGCUGCAACUCGCCUACAUGAAGUCGGAAUCGCUAGUAAUCGCGGAUCAGCACGCCGCGGUGAAUACGUUCCCGGGCCU
rnacentral:rRNA from 1 species